rnacentral:sRNA from 1 species
AAAAAAAAUAUAUAUAUAUAUUUUAUUAUGAUUUAAUUUCUGUCCAAUUAUAAACACACAUAUACACAUAGUUUCUCAGAGAAACUAUUCUCAAUCUCUCUCUUAUCUCUCUCCUACUUUAUUAUUAUUUUAUAUUUUUUAGUUAAUGAGAAAUUAUGUUAAAGACUACUGAUGGAGAUGCUCUAACUUUGGCUUUCUACAUUUAGAAAAGUUGAGACCAAAUCAAAAGAAAUU